rnacentral:rRNA from 1 species
UACAGAGGUCUCAAGCGUUGUUCGGAUUCAUUGGGCGUAAAGGGUGUGUAGGUGGCGCGCUAAGUCGGGUGUGAAAGUCACAGGCUCAACCUGUGAAUGCCGCUGGAAACUGUCUGGCUAGAGUCCGGAAGGGGCGAGUGGAAUUCCUGGUGUAGCGGUGAAAUGCGCAGAUAUCAGGAGGAACACCGGUGGCGAAGGCGGGUCUCUGGGCAGUAACUGACGCUGAGGAGCGAAAGCGUGGGGAGCGAACAGG